rnacentral:rRNA from 1 species
CGCAACGAGCGCAACCCUCAUCCCUAGUUGCCAUCAUUCAGUUGGGCACUCUAAGGAAACUGCCGGUGAUAAGCCGGAGGAAGGUGGGGAUGACGUCAAGUCCUCAUGGCCCUUACGCGCUGGGCUACACACGUGCUACAAUGGCAACUACAGUGGGCAGCAACCGUGCGAGCGGUAGCUAAUCUCCAAAAGUUGUCUCAGUUCGGAUUGUUCUCUGCAACUCGAGAGCAUGAAGGCGGAAUCGCUAGUAAUCGCGGAUCAGCAUGCCGCGGUGAAUACGUUCCCAGGCCUUGUACACACCGCCCGUCACACCAUGGUGAGUUGGUUUCACCCG